rnacentral:rRNA from 1 species
GGAAAGACCCCGUGGAGCUUUACUGUAGCCUGAUAUUGAAAUUCGGCACAGCUUGUACAGGAUAGGUAGGAGCCUUUGAAACGUGAGCGCUAGCUUACGUGGAGGCGUUCRAAGGCUCCUACCUAUCCUGUACAAGCUGUGCCGAAUUUCAAUAUCAGGCUACAGUAAAGCUCCACGGGGUCUUUCCGUCCUGUCGCGGGUAACCUGCAUCUUCACAGGUACUAUGAUUUCACCGAGUCUCUCGUUGAGACAGUGCCCAAAUCGUUACGCCUUUCGUGCGGGUCGGAACUUACCCGACAAGGAAUUUCGCUACCUUAGGACCGUUAUAGUUACGGCCGCCGUUUACUGGGGCUUCGAUUCGUAGCUUCGCAGAAGCUAACCACUCCUCUUAACCUUCCAGCACCGGGCAGGCGUCAGCCCCUAUACAUCACCUUACGGUUUAGCAGAGACCUGUGUUUUUGAUAAACAGUCGCUUGGGCCUAUUCACUGCGGCUCUUCUGGGCUUGCACCCUAAAGAGCACCCCUUCUCCCGAAGUUACGGGGUCAUUUUGCCGAGUUCCUUAACGAGAGUUCGCUCGCUCACCUUAGAAUUCUCAUCUUGACUACCUGUGUCGGUUUGCGGUACGGGCACCUAAUCUCUAUCUAGAGGCUUUUCUCGACAGUGUGAAAUCAACGACUCGAGGAAACAAUUUCCUCUCCCCAUCACAGCUCAAUCUUAAGAGUGYCGGAUUUGCCUAACACUCAAUCUCACUGCUUAGACGUACAAUCCAAUCGUACGCUUCGCCUAUCCUACUGCGUCCCCCCAUCGAUUAAAACGAUUAUAGGUGGUACAGGAAUAUCAACCUGUUAU